ACUUACGAUUCGUUUUGCAGGUUUGCAUUUCAGCGUAUAUAUGUAUGUAUGGCUGUGCAAAUCCAUGCAAAACUGAUUGUG
ensembl:miRNA microRNA 19b-2